AUGAGGUCAAAGAACGUCUUCAAAAAUUAUGUACCCUCAGAGUUCAUAGAUCUCGCAGUGAUGCUGCUCUCUGAAGAUGGUAGUAUGGGCUUUCGAAAUUUAGCAGCACUGGAUCCUUUCCACCCUCUUUUUCCAAAAUAGUUCAGAGGUCCCAUUGGCAUGGAACUCCAAGUUAGUUUGGAUGCGAUGGUGUUGUUGUUGUUGUUGUUGUUGUUGAGUGCUUCUUUUGUUUGUGUUUGUUUGUUUCUUGCUGUUGUUGUUAAGUGCUUCUUUUGUAUGUGUGUUUGUUCCUCCUUGUUUGUGUGCUUGUCUACGCUGCUGCAAUUUUACAUGUAUGUAUUCAUAUAUGAAAACAACAGACCUACUAUUUUCUAUUUUAUUUGAUGUACUACAGAACAAGACUGUCACCAAUAUGUUGUCUUUUAUCCAGUACACUUGUUCUUGUUCUCUA